UACGAAGGGGGCUAGCGUUGUUCGGAAUCACUGGGCGUAAAGGGCGCGUAGGCGGCUUUGUAAGUUGGGGGUGAAAGCCUGUGGCUCAACCACAGAAUUGCCUUCGAUACUGCAUGGCUUGAGAACGGAAGAGGUAAGUGGAAUUGCGAGUGUAGAGGUGAAAUUCGUAGAUAUUCGCAAGAACACCAGUGGCGAAGGCGGCUUACUGGUCCGGUUCUGACGCUGAGGCGCGAAAGCGUGGGGAGCAAACAGG
rnacentral:rRNA from 1 species